UUUAGGUUUAUGAAAAAAUUUAUUUGUGGUUAAUUAGCUUACUCUCCUAAUCUCACAAUCUAAACUUUAAUUUAAGUAUAUGUAUUCAAAGAAAAUAAAAAGAAGAUUUUUUUGACCACAAUUAUCUGGCUGGGUGCUCUGCACUGGAUCACAUCGUGUUCAACUUUCUGAGAAAUAAAGAUAGAGUGAAAAGGCCAUGCAGGAGUGUCUAUAACAACGACUGAUGAAAGGAACAUGUAAACACAACCAAGGAGUCUGUCACAGACCUCCGUUUGUACAAACAGUUUUCCCCAGGCUUCUGGUACACUUGCUUUGAUCACAUUACCUCAACAAAUAUUUUCCAUCAUGCUCUCAAUAUAAUUACACAUUAUUUAUAAUAGUAAGAGUAUGAUGUAGUACUUCAAGGGUAAGUAUAUAGUACUUCAAUCAGUAUAUUAAUUAAAAACAGUACUGUGUAACAACAAAUAGUUUCCUAAUGAUUUGAAUGCUUAUAUUUCUUAUAAUUACUUAGAAGUAUGUUGUGUCUGUAUCUGCUAUUAAUCAAAAUUCCUUUAGUCCAUUUAAUAUUCCAAGAAAGCAUGCAAACAAAUAAAAAUAAAAGCAAACCAAUAGAGGGAUAAGUUAUUUCACCUGUGUUCUAUCAGUCCCAGGCAAGUACAAUAAGUCAGUGGACCCUCAUGUGACCUGUAUAGCAGUGUAGUAAUACAGGCCUAUGCUUGUUGUGUCAACAACAACCAGCUUGCUUGGUGCUUUCAGAUGUGAUAUAUGACACAGCUAAGACCCCAAAACCAGUCUCUCUACCCCCUGCCCUCUCUUUCAGUUUGUGUUCAAAAUAUUACACUGCUUAUGAGGGUGGCUGAAACACACUUUACUAUUGCUUUUCACAAAAGCACAGAACUAAUUUCUAAGGUCAAGCCUUUUUUCCUUGACUUGCCCUUUUUAAAAUGCAGCUCUGACUCCUUGUUCAAGGGCAGUACAGGUUUUUUUUUUGUUUUGUGUGUGUGUGUGUGUGUGUGUGUGUGUUUAAACAGCCUAAGGAAAUAUAAAUAAAUACUUCUGUCAGGGCAUGCAGUUGACAUGUUACAGUAGGCUACCAUGUAUGUAUAGCUUCCUGUGGUUUAUCUUCUCUGUACGGAGAGAGAGAUUAGAUCAAUCUGCAAAAUUCGUAUAUUGAUGCAAUGAUGUGCAACUACUCUGCAGUAAUGUUUUCUGUAAAAAAAAAAAAAAAAUGGCUAAAACAGUAAGGUGCUGCGUGAAUGAAAUGGAAAAAGAGUUGAUGGAAGGAUGCAGGUUGCUGCUGAGGUCACAGAGUGCAUAAAGUGAAGGCCGUAGAGUACAGCUGAGAGAGACUCGCCCUCUUAUUGGUCAGCUCGGACAGAAAAGGGGCGGGUCCAAGCGCGUGAAUCCGCCUAGAAAAAGUGGGGACAGAGACAGUGUCCAGAGUGGGAGGGUGAUGUCUGUCUUGUCCUCAGCUACAACUCGGACGGAGCGAGACGAGCCAAGAAACCACCUCACUUUGAGUUUUCCAGCGCUCUGCAUACUAACAGCGUUACGUAAUUAUACAGUUGUACAAAUGACCGGGCUGCGCCAAAACCCGCAUACUACCGCACUAAACACCGUAUGUGGCGUAGUAUUUUCCACACUGUUUAGUAGGGUAGUGUGCGGUGUUACACUGUACUCCGUGAUUUAACACUCGGAAAAGUUCGAGCUCUGAGAGAACAGAGACGUUUAAAAGGGGAAGCGCGUCGGGACUGAAAGUUGGAGACUUUCGAAAACAGUGAAGAAGACUGACGAACAUGGCGAGGGUCGCUUUUAGAGAACGGCGUCUUAAUUACCUGCUUGAAAAGGGCGCAGAAAAGUCCGAGGCGAGCCGCUAAACAGCGCGGGCUGAACAGGAAAGAGGCAGCGAGCGGAAAAAGGCACUGAACACCGAGUUCAGUUGUUCACAGAAGUUGGCGGAAAGCGAUGCUCAAACUCCGGUGAGUGUGGAAUAUUUAUGAUACAGUGCUGCACGUUCUCCAUGACUGUUUAUCUCCGAAUUGGAAAUUUUCAGUUUAGGUUUCAGUUUAAAAGUGUUUCAAGUCUGCGCCGGGUUACCCGGAAAUGACCUCAUUAUAACGAGCGGACUAUUUCACUAUUUCAUGUAUAUUCAGUGUUUUUAAUCACUUAGCUUUUUUCAGUUACAGCCUCUAUUCGAACCCGGAAGUUUUUUGCGAGUGUGGAAAAUGUAAUGAUAUCACAAUGAAUCCUAUAUAUGAGAAUAAAUUUGCAUAAUCAUUUAUUUCUUCCUUCAUUUAGAGAACGCUUACUAAUGAGUUCAUUUUGUGGCUUCUGCUGCCUCUCUUCUGAAUGUAACCGGAAGUCAGUAAUGUCUGUAGGCCUGCAGAUGUUCUGCAGUUGCAUUAUCUGCCCUGCUAUGUGCCCUUUUGCGAUGGUUUUCUUCUGCUUCAGAGGACAGGGUGUUCUUCACUUACAAACGAAACGAAUGAUCUUAUGUUAUUCCAAGCAGAGUUAGAAAGUUGUAGAACAGGCUACUGUAUAUGAAAGAAAGACAUACCACUAUAAGCAUUUUUGAUUUGCAGUAGUCUGCAUGUUUAACAUAGACAAUAUAACAGUAGUAUAGGCUUUUUAUGCCUUGUGAGAAUAGAAAGAGUGGGACUGUAUGUCAUUUGUUAUUGUAAGUCAAAUAGUGGACUCCCUCUGAGUAUGGAAAGUUGGCUUUCUUGGGAGUGUUCCCAUGGAGAUAGGCACACUUCCUGUCUCAGCUUAGGAAUGAGGGAGUCUAGCUUUUCUGAACUGCUUACUCUAACUCUUUUCUCUUUAAUUAUUUUAGUUGAGGCUACAUGUGGGGGUGUGAUCUAUUAACACCACAAUCAGGAGUUACAAGGUGCUCAUUUUGGUCACUUGUGAUGAAGGCUUAUGUUGUUGCAGCACCAGAAACUGGCCUUCCACUUGCAGCAAAUCGAGCGGGCACUUGGGACUCCAAAAUUAAACAUUUUGCCCAGCUUUCUUUUGCUUCUCUUCUGUCAUGGGACAAAGUACUCCUCAGUGCAUACAGCAAAUGACCUCUGAGAGUUAGUUAGCUCUGUUAAUCAGUGUAUAGGUGACAUGGAUGACUUGUUCUGUUACUGCGCAUUUCGUGCCUGGAAUACGGCCUCUGUGCUUAAGCGCGAGAAUGAGAGUACGAAAGUGUGACCUCUCACAAGGUCAGAGAGCCUUUCGCUCAUCUGAUCUUCGCUUAAGGCAUGUGUUGGUUCUUGUGGGAAGGAGAUGAAGUGGAGAGAACAAACAAGUGAAUAGAAAUGUGCAUGUGUGUGUUAUGUAGAGAGAAAGGGCAAAAAUUCAGCAUUUGUUUGUUAUUCAUUAACAUACUUGGUGAUUAGUUGGUACUUUUAUAUAUAGCUACAGAUUAAACUUAGUUUGUUGUCACAAAAGUUUAUAACCUAAAAUUUAUAACCUUUGCCUUUUAAUAGGUGAUACCAGGAUGAGCAUAAAUUUCAAGAAACUACAGUGGAGAAAUGUGGUUUGAGAGUGAUUUAAGGAAGAAUGCUUUGAUGAGGAGGCAAGAAUCAAUAAAAUGAUCCACACAUAUCAGAAAGUACAGGGAGAUCACAGGAGCCGGAGCAUCAGGUCUCAUAACCCAGCACUAUUUAUGGUUCUUCACUUUUACAACAUGCUCAUUGCUUUCUCUGAUCUGUGCAUCUGUUUGAUAUUGCUAAGGUUAUAGGGAUAGAAAAAGAAACAGACAAAAGGAGUUAGAAAAGUAGAUUCAGGCCAGAAGGUGUUGAACUGUUGUACACACAGAGUUGGAUCUCUGCGACCUUGAUGUGACUUUGUUGUAGCUGAGGAAGGAUUGUACAUCACAUCAUCUUCUUUCAGUCCAAUGUCUAAAAGCUCCAUGUUUGAAUGACCUUAAUAAAGUGCUCUUCUGGAAACGGUGUCCUGUGAUGGACAGUGAGCUAGGACAAUCAAGGAAUGGAGAAGAGCAGUGCAAGGUGAGACUGGAGCGAGAAUAAAGUACAGUAGAAUUAGUCCGUAAUACCACUGACAUUAAUGUCCGCUAACUGAGGGACCAAUCAGAGUAAGAGCGCACUUGAGGAAGCAGUGGGUCUCUGGACGCUGCUUCCUGCUCUUUCUCUCCUUCACCCCUCCCCCUCUGCUGUACUGUGUGCUAUACGGUUGCCAAGUGCUAAGAAUCUGCGGAAUGUGGGAUUGCAGUGUUCUGAUAAAGUUUGCUUUGUUCCCGCCGUGCCCUGAACACUGGGAGGGAUAUGAGACCCUGGGAAUUUCAGUGAAGCACUGUAACACACAGACACACAUCCCUAUAUCCAACAUGGCUAUUCUCACAUGUGCCUCAGUCACUUGACAUGGCACACAGUAGAAGAACAGCUGGAGUUCUGUCAGACGUACUGUAUAUAAGGUGCUAUUAAAAAAAAAAAAAAAAAAAAAAAAAAAAAAGGCCAGAAAGUUUAGACUCAAGGAACCAUUUUUUUAACACUGUUUUUGAUCUAACCUUAUUAUUCUGACAAAAAUAGCUUGAAUACGUAAAUAAAUUUCCCCACAGACUCAUUAACUGCACUACUGUGACUGUAUUGUUUUUCAGAAUUUCUGUAUAAUAUAUAUGUAAUGGAUGGAGUUUAUUAUGAGAAACAGUGUCAAAAUAUUUUCUGUGAUUAUUUCCUCCCCUACAGGAAUUUGAGGUUUCUUCUAUAAGCGAAGGCUUGAUGACAAAGAAAAUACUCAGGGAACUUGAGAACAUCUCAGACUGCCCCUGAGUCUCAGAUUACUAUGUUGAAAUGCACACAUCACCAGUGUGAUGGGUGUCCUGCAUAUACAGAGGACAAAAUGGAGGCCAGAGGUGGCUGGAGGUCAUGGUCCAUCAUGACCUCACAGAAGUCACAUUCACAGGAUGGAACUGACUUCCAAAAAAAAAAAAAAAAAAGAUGUAGGGAGUGUGAAAAUGCAAGCUAAGCUCUUCAAGCAUUGGGGACAUAACAGUGCCACGUAAACAAGAAGAUGCGUGCUUUAUGGUUGGGACUCGCAAAGGUGUGUGUGUUUGUGUGAGAUGAAGUUUCUGACCUGGAGGGACAUUUUGCGUGUGAAGCUUCAGCAGAUUUGACCUCUCUGGGAGUGUCAUGGCAAAACAAACGGCUUCCACUGACUCCUCCUUUUAUGUUUUCAAUGUAAAUACAGCAUUUCUGCUCCCCAUGGCAAGCAGCCCUCACAAUGUCUGAUGGAAAAACAGCAUCAGAUAUGCAGGUGCACUAAACACUGCCACAAGGACAGUCUCUGACACAAGCACUGCCUACCUUCACACAAGCUGACCUUUUUCCUCAGUAGUCACUUACAACUAAUAAUCACUGUAUGUAAUGCUCUGGGUUAAGAGUUAAGAGUUACACACCAGGUUUACUAGUUAAAAAAAAAAAGCGGAAUGUGUGGCAACAAGAAAGAACAAACAAUGCCCGGCUGGCAGUAUGGGCUACUGUAAACAUCCUUGACUGGAAGCUGAUGCUUAAGAUGGAGCUUUCAGUCGGAUGUUUGCAGCAGCCAACUGCCAUUACCUCUUCUCCUAAUGCUUGAUAAAGAGUGGAACGAGUGACGUACAGAACAGACUCACCGUCAAAUAAACUUUCUCACUAUCUUCAGCUGAUGAAAACUAAUUAAUGCACUUUUACAUCAAGAUGGAGACAGUGCAUUUGACAGUGCCUAAUUUUAAACCAUCAAAACUUUUUUUUUUUUAAACUGGUGAUGUCAGAACAUGUAUUUUUAUGUCUAUGAUGAUUUUAUGCUAUAUGUAAAUAAGGAGGGAUUUACUCAUUUAUGCUCCUAAGCUAGUGAAAUUACAUUUGUAUUCUCAUUUUAAUACAAGCACGUGUGAAAUGGUGAUCAAGAUUUAGAGCUGUUCCUUUGGCACCGCAAGUGGAUCUUCAGAUUGGGAGCUGUGUGAGUUAGCUGUGUUUUGUGUCCUCAGGAGGGUUGAAAUGGAAAGAAUAGGGGCAGAGGGACACAGCAGUUGGUCCUGGAUAUGGCUGAAGUGCUGACUCCAGAGGCUGAACGUCAACCUCAGGAGCCGAGGCACGCCAUUUGUGUCAGAUUAGCACCUCAAGGCCUGUAAAACACAUUCCGGCCUGGCACCUGUGGAGAGCUAAAACCCAGAUUAGUGCCAUUGCUUCUGUGCUUACUCUCCCCUUCUCACUGUUUCAAAGGCCUGUAACACGGAGUUGAGUAUCGCAAUCCCUUUUCCCACCUCCUGCGUGAAGUCUCCCACAGGGAGUGCAGUGACGCUCACAGAAACGUGAUCCUGUAGCACAGCUCUGCCUGGCAAUGGGAAAUUUUUCGUAGAGAAAAGGGUUACAGUGGGGUAAUGUUUCAGCUCCUUUUCAUACGGUUUUGUCAAUAAUGUGGCCUUAUUAGUUAGGCUUGACUCUGAUGUAUAAUAUGCAGUUGUGAGUUACUGACAGUUGAGUAAAACUUGUAGAUUUUACUGAGUUCAGGGUUUACUCAAGGCUUGAUUGCAGUAGAUAAAGUCACUUCUUGUUUGGUAUUCAGUUCCUGUUUCUCCCAGUAGUACAGUUUAGUGAAUAAUUUCCUAGCAUUGUUGCAUAUAAUGUUGGAUAAUUGUAUAAGUUACAGUGCUGUGCUUUUUUGCUUUCUGGGUUAAACUAACCUUAUUUAUUCUACAUGCUACAAUUGAAUAAAAUUAUUAUAAUUUUUUUUAAUGAGUGUCCAGUUUCAGCACUCUGGACAGCUCUUUUAGGGUAUGACAGUAGAGUCACCCAGUCCCAGGGGAGAGAUAGAAAGUGCCCAGGAAGGUUAGCUGACUGAUGGGAAUCAUCUGCAUUCAUUAUCUCCUCAGGAACUCCUCAGCGUUUUUACUGAUUUGUGACUUUCUCAUGUACUCCACCAACUGAACUCCAUUUUUAACUGCAACUGACACAAACAUUUACAAAGUGAUAAGAAGGAAAGGUACCAAUGGGAGAACCGAUAAAAUGUUUGUACAGUUCAACAAACUCGCUUAAAAGCAGACUCACGAUAAGCACAGCUGUAUGAUUUAAUCUGCCAUAAUGUAAUAUACCAGCAGUUCCUAUUUACCAUGUAAAGGGUGUUAAGAAGUUAAGGGGAGCAUUUCAAAGGAACUAAUCACCAGUAAAAGCUGGAUGAACUGGAGCUGAAGAUCACUGGUGGAGAUUGUGUAUUUCAAAUAUUAAAAUCAGUAUGCUGCUGUGGACUUGUUCAUUUUUCCACACAUUGUGUUAUGUCUAUCAUAAAAGUAUAGCUGGAACACUUGAACAAUAAAAGCAACUGCCAUAUUGCUGUUACUGUUUUUUUUUCUAUUGCUCUUGAGCUCUGGUUCUAUGUCUACAUCCUUUUCCCUUAAUUAAUGCUGCUUCCUUAAGUUUUACAGAUUCAUUCCAACCUCUCUCUAUCUUUCCUCAUUUACAGUUUACCAUAUACUGCCUCUCUCUAUAUGACCUUUAGUUCCUGUCCAUGCCCAUAGGCCUGUUCCAUGCUUGAUGACUUUCCCACAACAAUCACUGCAUGCAUUAAGAGAGGAGACAGAAAGCAAGAGAAAACUCUUGUCCACUAAGAGGAAAUAGGCCUCAAGAAUGUGAAAAGCUCCAAUUCAGGCGGGUUCACAGGGUCUGGGAGUGGCCACAUCCUCAAGAGGCGGGGGGGACUUGGACUGGAGCCAUGAGAGCUACGCAGGCCAGGCAGAUGACGUAGGUCCGUGUGAACACCCAAAGCCUUCCCCCCCCUCCUUUUUCUAUUUCUACAGUGGCCUUGCCCUUUAUGUACCCCCCCACCCCCCAAAAAAAUGCAGCUUGUGCCUCCCUAAGGCCCCUAAGAACAGAGCUCAGGUGGCCAGUCUGCUGAUGAAUGCAGCUCUAUUAAUAGAAAGUGCUGCUUAUCUCAAAGGUGAAUGACAAACAUUGAGCAGAUUUCUCACAGGUCUGAAAAAGCUGUGCGUUCAAAAACUUCAGUUCCACUUCUUUCUUUUUAGCAAAAGCUUCCAUUUGAUGCUCUGACCAUCAAAAGCUUAUUACGGUUAUUUCAGAACAGAGUGUUUUUGCACUCUCUCAUCAUGGCAUGACCAUGGAGCAGUCAGGUAAACUCAGACUGUAGGUGUCUCUACGCUGUGCACUUUUCCACACCAGGCCAGGUCAUCUCGGCUUCACCCAGGAGCCCUGUGAGCCUCAGGGAAUGUAAACAUCCUACACUCUCAGCUGGAGCCAAGACAAGGCCGGGAGUGGGGUGUUUGCGCUCUCUGGCUUACGGAUGCCGUGGCAGCACAGAGGAAACGGAAACAGCACCACGGAGGAAACCAGCUUCUCUGCCCUCAUAUCAGUUCAGCUCAUUGGAUACAUCCGGAGGCUUUCAACGUCUGGUACGUCAACUCAGUGACCUGUUAUAAUCUUGAUGUUUCUCCAUUUCUGUGUGGCUUCGUCCCUUGUGAAUUGUGAAACAUCUUCAAGAUUAUAACAUUGCCUUUAGAUACUUCUACUAGACAUUCAGAAUAACCUUGAUGACUGAAAACCUUCAUACACAACAAAAGGCUUCUGUUCUCUCUUUGUGUCUAGAGGCUAGUGUGUGUAGGUGGGUGUGGUUUGUAGACCUCUGAGGAAGUGGAGCUCCAUUGUAAGAAUUGCUGCUGGGUCAGGAGGUGAGGCUGAAGGCUCUUUUUGAAGCCCCUAACCCAGCAGGGUGGGACAACUCCAAAUGCUUCCAAGUACUCCUGUCCAGACUAAGCUGUUGUCACGGCGACAAAGUGGCCCAAGAGGAAAUGGCUAUUUAUACCCACCAAGUGCAGAAAGAGAGGCACCCUUCCAAUGGGCGGCAUUUGACUCACAUCCUCCAGCAAUCUGAGUUUGGGCCUUCGCGUGGACCCACUUUCUCAUCCGUCGUCCAGUAUUUAAAAAAAAAAAAAAAAAAAAAAUACUUCUACCAUCUUGCAGUGUUUUACAUACUGAUGUUUUGGGAAACCAUGCUACACAUAUAUGCCAACACUCAAGCAACUUUUGAUCCUUGAGAUAUUACUGGGCUCACUCUCCAUAUGCAGUAUCUUGUUGUAUAUGCUGUCCUGUUGAUUUGUUUCCUCUUGCCCUUCUGUCCCACAGUGACACUCAGGAUGCAUGCCUGGUGGUCUGUGGUUCCCACCCUCUCCCACUGCAAUUAUUUUGGUCUACUUUUAUUCUGUGACAUCAUUACAGCAGCUGCUCCUUCUUAAACCACAAGGUGGCGGACUGUCUCUAAAGAUGGGAGAUGCAUUUAUAGAACCGGCUGUGCAAACACUUAACAGAAAAUUAUUUUGACAUGGGUGGCUUUGAAAUGUAGCCAAAGACUGAACACCGAAAGUGAACAAGCUACAAGAAAUCAGCAUUUAUUCUGCUGUUUGAUUUCAGUUGCAUUACUUGAGUUUUUUCCCCAAAAGUUAUUUGAAUCAAAGUCUUUAAGGUAAUACACAAAAGUUUGUUUAGACCAUAUCAAAGUUCCUAACAACUUAAAAAGUCCUGAAGGUAGCACUCCUGUAUUAGAUGAUGGGGCAGACAGGUGAGAUGGUCUUAUGGCAUAAGUUCCUAAUCUACAGUAUGAACCAUCUUCUUACAAAGAAUAAGCAUAAGUUAUUUUUUUUAAUUUAAUUUAAUUUUUUUAUUUUUUAUUUUUUUUGUUCCCCCCCUUUUUUUUGUGGCCCUUGAGUCCGGAUUGCUGUGUGUUUUUCUGAUCGUUAUAUCUGUCCUCUGCAGGUGAGCAGAAUUCGGGGAAUUGGAGUAAUGAAGUGAUGUUUACAUGGCAAGCUAGGAAAAAAGAAGAAAACAUUACAAUCCUGGGCAGUGCAUUUGACACACAUUGUUCGACAUUGUACACUGCUGAAUAACUUGUAAGCAAUUUGGAUGUAUAAACAAGAACCUCAUAAUAAAAUUGUAAUGCCAAGUCAGAAAGGUAAUUUUUAAAUAUUUAUGACAAUUGUUUACUGGUUAAAAGUUCAUUGUUUUUCUGUAGGGGAGUUUGCAACAUUUCAGGUUAUUACAAUCAUUUACAGAUGCUAAAGCAAAGGUUUACAGUACCUGAAUCACUUAAGCAAAGUUAUUGUUGGAAUAUGCAAUGUACCAUUAUAGUACUAGUAUUUAAUUUAAAUGCUAUGUGUUGUAAUGUAUAUAUUUUGUUUAAUAAAUCAUUCUUUUUUUUUUUCAACCA